AAGGAUCAUUAUUGAAUUAUAAGCGAGGGUUGUCGCUGGCCUCGAAAGAGGCAUGUGCACGCCUGAGCUCUUAAAUCCACAACACACCUGUGAACCCACCGUAGGCCUUCGGGCUUAUGUAUCAUAUACUCUGAAUGUGUCAUAGAAUGUUCAUGUUGCCUUAAAACGCAAUCAAAUACAACUUUCAACAACGGAUCUCUUGGCUCUC
rnacentral:misc_RNA from 1 species